GAUGAACGCUGGCGGCGUGCCUAAUACAUGCAAGUCGAACGAACAGAUGAGGAGCUUGCUCCUCUGACGUUAGCGGCGGACGGGUGAGUAACACGUGGAUAACCUACCUAUAAGACUGGGAUAACUUCGGGAAACCGGAGCUAAUACCGGAUAAUAUAUUGAACCGCAUGGUUCAAUAGUGAAAGACGGUUUUGCUGUCACUUAUAGAUGGAUCCGCGCCGCAUUAGCUAGUUGGUAAGGUAACGGCUUACCAAGGCAACGAUGCGUAGCCGACCUGAGAGGGGGAUCGGCCACACUGGAACUGAGACACGGUCCAGACUCCUACGGGAGGCAGCAGUAGGGAAUCUUCCGCAAUGGGCGAAAGCCUGACGGAGCAACGCCGCGUGAGUGAUGAAGGUCUUCGGAUCGUAAAACUCUGUUAUUAGGGAAGAACAAAUGUGUAAGUAACUAUGCACGUCUUGACGGUACCUAAUCAGAAAGCCACGGCUAACUACGUG
rnacentral:rRNA from 1 species